UGGCGGACGGGUGAGUAAUGUCUGGGAAACUGCCUGAUGGAAGGGGAUAACUACUGGAAACGGUAGCUAAUACCGCAUAACGUCGCAAGACCAAAGAGGGGGACCUUCGGGCCUCUUGCCAUCGGAUGUGCCCAGAUGGGAUUAGCUAGUAGGUGGGGUAACGGCUCACCUAGGCGACGAUCCCUAGCUGGUCUGAGAGGAUGACCAGCCACACUGGAACUGAGACACGGUCCAG
rnacentral:rRNA from 1 species